rnacentral:lncRNA from 1 species
CCCGAAAGGGCGAUCGACGGGCUGAACGAGUGUGCAUGUGGCGAGUAGGGUCUUAACAAACUUGCAGCCAGCUAACGCAGUUGUUAAAAACCAUGGCAAACUCAGGCUAAGAACACCCCAGAGACAGUUGAGAAACAAAACGUACUUUGAAGGAACGCUUACAGCCCUUCAAGUCUGCAGAUUAUUGU